CCCUUAGAUGUUCUGGGCUGCACGCGCGCUACACUGAAGCGUUCAACGAGUAUUCACCUUGCCCGGGAGGGUUGGGUGAUCUUUUGAAAACGCUUCGUGAUGGGGAUAGAUUAUUGCAAUUAUUAAUCUUCAACGAGGAAUUCCUAGUAAGCGCGAGUCAUCAGCUCGUGCUGAUUACGUCCCUGCCCUUUGUACACACCGCCCGUCGCUCCUACCGAUUGAACGUUUUAGUGAGGCAUUUGGACCGACGCAUCUCAGUUUAACCGCUGGUUUGUGUUGGAAAGACUUCCAAACUUGAGCGUUUAGAGGAAGUAAAAGUCGUAACA
rnacentral:rRNA from 1 species